rnacentral:rRNA from 1 species
GGGUGAGAAUCCCGUCUGUGCCAAGUCUUGAAGCCGUUGUGCAUUGUCUUCUAAGAGUCGAGUUGUUUGGGAAUGCAGCUCUAAUUGGGUGGUAAAUUCCAUCUAAAGCUAAAUAUUGGCGAGAGACCGAUAGCGAACAAGUACCGUGAGGGAAAGAUGAAAAGCACUUUGGAAAGAGAAUGAAACAGUAUGUGAAAUUGCUGGAAGGGAAACGAUUGAAGUUAGACUUGCGUUUGCAACAUUCAGCCUUUCUUCGGACUGGUGUAUUUGUUGCUUUUGCAGGCCAGCAUCAGUUUGCUUUGGUGUAUAAGGGUAAGGAGAAUGUGGCAUCCUCGUGAUGUGUUAUAGCUCCUUACUAGAUGCAUCGUCGCAGACUGAGGAACGCAGCUUUAUGCUUAGGAUGCUGGUUGAAUAGCUUUAACCGACCCGUCUUGA